CUUUUAAUCUCACCAACUACGCAACAAAGUAUAUCGACUAUCAGAAAUGCUACGCAUUUUCCGAACAACCCAAUAUUUUAUACGUAUUUAUAUUAUAUUUUAUAUCGACGAUUGAAGGUUGGUCGCAAUUUUAUGUUUUAUUACGUAAAGUUCCAUCAUGAUAACAUUAUACAGGAGACACGAUCGUGUUGGAGAUAGAGCUAAGAAAAUUCACGAAGGCCCUGUAGACAGAUCCCGAUGAUUUCAAAAGCAUGGCGUGCAUUAAUGCAUCAGCGCAUCAGAAAACGCGAGCAACCUCUUUCGAUUGAAAAUUCAUCAAGCGACGUCUUUUGCAACAAUUGUUGUGAAAACGAGCGAUCGUCUACAAGGGGAAAAAGAGUCGUACACGUCGUUAAGAUGGGAAAAUAUUUACCGGGACGAGUAUCGGUAGAUACCGCGUCGCAACGCGACGUUUCAGCGACCGAGUCGGAUGCGAGUAAUUUUCGUCCGGGAGGAAACUCGCGAUUAUUCCGUUAUAUCGCGCGAAAAAGGUUACAUCGCUUUCCAAACUUGCAUCAAGGGAAUUUUUAAUCUGCUGAUUAAAUGUGACAAAUUUUUAACUAUCGUAUAACGAUGUUUCGAUGGUUAAUUUAGAUUCCAACUAUGUACGUAUUAUACUUUCGUAAGAAGGUACAGUACACAGUUAAAAGUAUGUUCCAGUACAUCGCAGUCGCGUGAACGAACUCGCGAGGAUCACAUGUCUGAUUCUAAUUGAUAUUAGUGAGCUCGAUCGAUCGAAUAGCUACUACCAAAGAAAUACACGUGAGUCGUGCCACGUUGACGUUUCUUCGCAAGUUUGAGUCGACUCGAAGCAGGAUGCGACCGACUGGGAACUUCAUCGCGCAGUUCUUUGCACGAGGCGCAAAAUUCUAUUCGAUAGCGAACGAUCAAACGUCAAGAUAAGAAUCGACAGUUAUGAGAACUGUCGUUGGACGUGUGGUGAGCUAGAAACUUACUAUGUUUUCUCUUGGUAAUGGAGCAUCUUCAUUGACUUUAUCGACUUUAUAUUGUCAAGUUCUUAUAAUUAAAUUGCAAAUAAAACCAUUUGUCGCCAUAAAGAAUCAUUCUAUAUGUUAUAACAAGAAAAAGUAAACGAAAUAAAAAAAUUAAGAAUAUGUAGCCACGUUUAUUCAUUCGAGAAAACUCAUGAAGCAAAAUAUCAGGAUAUGGUUAAAAAAAAGUGUCAGGAUGUGAUCGUAGGCUUAACAGAUCAGAGGCCUUUAGCUACAAUACUACAGCCACAUUUUAUCCAAGUUCUAACUAUUCUCGAAAUUUUUAUGAAUUAAAGACGCAAAAUUCAAGGUGGUAUGUACCGAAGAACAAAAAUUUUACUUUUAACUACUAAUGGUUUUAACAAUACCUAUCAUUCACAAUCAGAUAUAAUUAUUAACUGCGUCUCUCGUGCGAGGAUCAAAUAAUCAACGCAUUUUGUAACAUGGAUGUAAUUAUGCAAAAUAUGUACAAGCUACGCGUAACUGUGUGGCACGGCGCAACGAUUGCCCGUUUACAUACACAUUUCGUUUCAUCUCGCGUAAAUCAAUACCAACUCUGGAACGCGAGAUUUCGUUAAUUGUAUACCUCGUUCUUCUCCCCCGCUUUUUUUUCAGCCUAUCCGGCAAAUGAUCCGUUCUGCUUCCGAUUUAUACUAGCUCUCUUACGUCACGAAAUAUUCGUCAUCGGAUUUAUCAAUAAAAAUUACGAACUGUCAAGGAACACAAUUUGAUUUUGCGAAUUGUUCUCGAAUUGUUACGUCGUUUAGUAAUUCAAAAUAGGUACUCCCACCAAUUUAUUCAAUGCAUCCUUUCCACUUCUCAUGUUUUUCGAUUGUUCCAUUUGAAAUGAUAAAUUAAAUCGCUGUAUAAAAGUUAAUUGGCGAAAAUAUGGUAGGUAUUAUUUGAAUCAAAAUUCUCUAUCUUUUUACGAAUUUCAUAUUUGUAUCGAAUCAUUUCGAUUGAGAAAUAAAUUAAACACGAUAUUGUAAACAUGGCAGUGACUGUAUUGAAAUAUUUAGCCGUUUAUAUUAAACUUUUCACAUUUCACUGGCGUAAUUUUUCGAAAUGCUUACACGUUAGCGUCUGCUAGUUAUAAACGAAACCAAUUGAAAAUUAAAUUGUGCAAUCAAUUAAUACCGAAUGAUUAUUUCUUACGUAGCGUGAUUGGAGUAAAAUGCAGGUCGGGGUUAGAAAUGGCAUUCAUUGAUUGCCAUUGGAGAGACAAUUAUCUCUCGCGCGGGAUUCGAGUUAGAUGAACGUUAAUAUCAAUUCGAUUAUUUUAGUCGAAAAUAGGUUAGUUGAAAAUUAUAGGCUUCGUGCAAUAAACAACUUGUCGAUAUAAUUACGUUUCACUGAUUCUAAAAUUCGAAAAACUUAUAUAAUUUGGUAAGAUAUUUUCAAAGCGACAUUUCCACAAAUAAAUAUAAAACGAUAUAAUUCCAAAUGCAUAGUAAAAACAGUAUAGUAAAAAAAGUUGAUAGCAAUUAUCACAAUAACAAUAAAAAACAAAAUAACAAUAAAAAAGAAAUAAUAAACUCGAGUGUUCCAAGAUUGGUAUGAAGUUAUGAGCAAUUUCACUGUCGAAAUUGAGACCCGGAAAUCAACGUCAGACAGCGAGACACCUCAUGGUUGGCAAUUAUAUCGAACAAAAACAAGGGAAAAUGGAAAAGAAAGGGAAUUACCAUCAGAACAGCCGGACAAGCAACGCAAGGAGGUCACGAUAAGAAGUGCGUAACCAAAGGUUCCCCCGUUCCCUCCACCUAGAUAUGUCAGUCCAGUGGACUGAGUCCAGGUAUCAGGAAUAAUGAACGUUCGAGUAUUCAGCCACUGGGAGCAUUGUUCGCGCUGCAAAUAUUAACCACAGUCUCGAGUGCAGCUCGCGGCAUUUCUAUCUACCGGUGGUCUUACGCGUAAAUUUACGGUAAAAACAACAUUUUCUUCUACAAAAGCGUAUGCCUAUACACGGGUUGGGUUGAAUUCGAACGAUCGCGAAUCCAGUAAAUUAAAUUGAAAACUCUGUAACUCGGUUCAUUAAUCGUUAUUCAUUUUGACGAUUAAUUUUCACUUUUCGACAACAUCAAAUGAUCUCCUGAAUGAAACGGGUAAAAGAAAGCAGAUUGAUAGCCAAAACUUCUCGGUUUAUCUUUAAAGUUGCAAUUCGGGGAAUACGCGGAUAGGUGCUUAAAAUUCCGAAUAACUUUUCCAACCUCGGGGAAACGUAAAAAUAAAAGCAAUGGAAAGUUUAGGUAUAUAUUAUAUUAUUUAUGAAGUUGUUAUUAUAAUUGUUAAAUAAUGCAGGCUGAUGUAAAAUUGCCGAUGCAGAAUAAUGUUUAGUGAUACGAACAGAGACAACAUAGCACGAGGAUUAAUACAAGAAUUGCCAGUAGACUCGAUAAAAAGCGUGAAACCGCUGAAAUUGAAAGGACAAGCGUAAAGCAGAUUACAAAAUGAAGAGAAUUUAUACGGCACACAAUGCGGGUUGUUACUUUCCUGUUACUCGAAAAACUAUUCAUACUUAGUGUACACGAUGGAAAGGGAAAAGGCAAACAGCCGAACGAAUUAGCACAAUGAACGUGCGCCAGCCUGGAACGUAAAAGCGAAAAAAUAAUUUACAGGAAGAAUAUUUAUCGUAGAGCAAUACUUCAGCUAGUCGGUAGUCGGUAACUAAUUGCGCUUUAAACGCAAUGCACCGAUACAUUUUAUUAUGAAUAUUAUCUUCGACUAAUGUUCGUUCAAAAUACCAUAAAAUUUGCUGCUCGUUGCUGUGCAUGUAGGUUAAUUGUAUUGUGUAACGAGGGAUGGAAAAACACACGUCGAUAACGCGAUAUAAUUUACGAAACUGAAAGGUAAUAGCGGGGAGACGUAUUGUACCAACCGAAACA